GCAAUUCAGCUGCUGCUUUAUAAUCCUCAGCCCCCGUCCCUUAUGCCAUCCCCUCCCAAAUGCAGGGCUACCUCUUCCUUGCGUGGUGUGUGCCCAUGGGUGCUCCGAGGGGCACAGCAUCUCCUCUAAUUCAGGCCUGCUGUGACCUUGGUGUUUGUUCUAAGCUCUAGCCUACCUUGUCCACAUCCUCCUCCAGGGAACUGCUCUGCACACCAUAACCCAUACGUGGGGAGACAUUCCCAGACUUCCUUUUUUUUUUUUUUUUGCUUUUUCCUUUCCUCAAUCCCACCCUACCAGCCCUGGCAGCCCCAAGCAGGACUUUGACAGAUCUUCCCGGACAUUUGCUGCCUUUUGCAGCCCUGGCCCUGUGGAGGGAAUUUCUUGUUCCCCAGUGUCCUGAGACCGAGCACCGACCCCAUCCAGCUGGCCCAGGGGAAGCAAAAUGAAGACUUUUGCUGGCUUCUGAGCAGCUGAAAGAUGUGGCCUUGUUUUCAGAACCAAGAGAGGUCUGCAAUGGCAGUGAGAAAACAAGAGACGAAGGCAUCCUUGAGGAGACCACGGAGAUCGUCAGCUGCUCAAGCAGGACAUUGUGCCUGGGAAAAGGCAGAAGCCAGUUGGACUGCCAGAGUGUGGACAAGCGAUGCUGUGGCAGCAUCGUGAUACUAUCAGGGUUUGCAAGUGCAGCAUAUGGAGAAAUAAACAUUACUUUUGGUACAAA